UUCCUUCACUUGCUUGUUUCCUUCAUUUCGUGUAUGCCUGCUCGGUUUGGGGGCUCCAAAACUCUAUCGGGUUGAAAAUUGAACUAUAGAUGUAAAAGAGACAAUGCUAACUUAAUUUUUGUUUGGGAAUUAGUCUGUACAUUGGCCACAACCGGAUCCACAGGGAAGAGGUGCUCGAGAUGGAGGAGGACAUCCAGAUUGAGGUGGGAGGUCGAUACCGAUGCGGUCCUGGGAGGCGUGCACGAGAUCGAAGGCGGGCAGCUCCGGAAGGCAGACGGUGGCAUCGCCUCACUCUCUAAAUUUACACUUAUCUAGAAUCCAAUGCUUCAUGACCAUGGCAAUAUUGGCUUGACAAAAACGAUAUAUAAAGUAGUAUCUAUCUUCUUUUCAGUUGUAUGAAUUUGGAACUGAAUUCUAAUGGCAUACAGUUGUAUGACGUGCUUUGAUUAUGCUCAAAACUGUUCAUUCCAAUACUUGAUCAGAGUGCAGAUUAUAUAGCAACAACCAUGAACUACCAUACAAUCAUCAUAUCACACAUUCCACCUAUGAGUAUGAAGAUCCGUGACAAGGCAAGAGCAAUCAGGAGGCCUUAUAUGCUUAGCUAUCUCAUCCAUUGAUGAUCUCUUUCAAGGAAUAGAAGGACUUCUUGUUCAUUUAGAGAGGAUCAAUCUUUUGAUUUUGGUACUUAAUAAACUAAAUCUUGAGCAUUGGAGGAGGUAGCCCCUGGACUGGUGAAGACGAAAAUGGGGACACGAGGAGGUUCAUGGUGGUUCCAGGCUCAUCUCUUCGGUGAGCAGCAGUGUGCUACGUUGGACAGUUACCAAGGCUGGACGGAGGUGUGCCCGUGCAGCCGGACGGUGUCGUCCUGGUCGAGCAGAUCGCCGUACCAAGGUUGCCUGCCGGACUCCAAUUCCCUACCGCUGUCAAGCUCUAGAUCAAGCUCCACAUGGACCUGUCUAUCCGUGCGAUACUGCAUUUCCCUGGUGGCCGUCUGUUCCGCUUGGCGUUUCCUCUGGAUCUGAGAGGAGAAGGCCUCAAGGAGGGAGAUGGGGAGGUUUAUGGAACCAUGGAAGUUUUCAGAUGAGAUUAGUUGAAAGAAAAGGGAAAGUUCCCAUGCUGCCAUGCGAGAGUCAGAGGUGGGUGAGUUCCCUGAUCCCCGGCUGUAGCAACAUUGGCCACCACUCUAUUCGCAUCUGUGCAGCCAAAAUCAGAUUUCAUGCGUAUCAAGCAGAUUGUGAAGAAAAUGUACCUGAAGAUGGUUCCUCAGUAUGAGAAUCCGAUUAACAUUGUCUUCAAGAAUUAAGGCAAAUUGUUUGUAUGUCAUUAACCCUCUCCUGUGAAGAUUCAGAAUCAUAAAAGAUAGUAUUCAGGUACAUGUGCGUCCGCUCGAACGCAAUCACAUUCCGGAACAGUGACUUUACCGACACGUGCAGUUAUUGGCUGCAUUCUAUUAGACAUACAGAGAGCCACACUGACAAAUUUCUAUUUAGAGGAAGAAGUAGGCACAAGUAGACUGGAAAAACACAAAACAGCGGGAGAUGUCAUGUUCAGCAGCGACAACACCAUUGCUCUUCAUGUUUUAAGUUAAACCUGUAUUACUUCAGAAUGAUUAGUCAAAGAUCGGUGAUUGUUAGAGGCCUGAAGUUAAUGUGAGAGGAAAGAGCAUGAGUGGUCUUUUCAGUACAGUAAAUUUUCCUUACUGGCAUAGGUUGUCAAGGAUUGUUCUAUCCGUCUCAGAGAAAUGUGUUCAAAGUGAAUUCUUCUCAGGACUGAGACUUAUUUUACAGUAAUAACUUACAUAAGCCCUUUGAUUGA